rnacentral:tRNA from 1 species
GCGAAAGUAGUUCAGUGGUAGAACGUUGCCUUGCCAAGGCAAAGGUCGGGGGUUCAACUCCCCUCUUUCGCU